rnacentral:rRNA from 1 species
GGCUCAGAUUGAACGCUGGCGGCAGGCCUAACACAUGCAAGUCGAACGGUAGCACAGAGAGCUUGCUCUCGGGUGACGAGUGGCGGACGGGUGAGUAAUGCCUGGGAAACUGCCCGAUGGAGGGGGAUAACUACUGGAAACGGUAGCUAAUACCGCAUAACGUCUUCGGACCAAAGUGGGGGACCUUCGGGCCUCACACCAUCGGAUGUGCCCAGGUGGGAUUAGCUAGUAGGUGGGGUAAUGGCUCACCUAGGCGACGAUCCCUAGCUGGUCUGAGAGGAUGACCAGCCACACUGGAACUGAGACACGGUCCAGACUCCUACGGGAGGCAGCAGUGGGGAAUAUUGCACAAUGGGCGCAAGCCUGAUGCAGCCAUGCCGCGUGUAUGAAGAAGGCCUUCGGGUUGUAAAGUACUUUCAGUGGGGAGGAAGGCGAUGGAGUUAAUAGCUUCGUCGAUUGACGUUACCCGCAGAAGAAGCACCGGCUAACUCCGUGCCAGCAGCCGCGGUAAUACGGAGGGUGCAAGCGUUAAUCGGAAUUACUGGGCGUAAAGCGCACGCAGGCGGUCUGUCAAGUCGGAUGUGAAAUCCCCGGGCUCAACCUGGGAACUGCAUUCGAAACUGGCAGACUAGAGUCUUGUAGAGGGGGGUAGAAUUCCAGGUGUAGCGGUGAAAUGCGUAGAGAUCUGGAGGAAUACCGGUGGCGAAGGCGGCCCCCUGGACAAAGACUGACG